AUUGAACGCUGGCGGCCGGCCUAACACAUGCAAGUCGAACGAGUGGCGGACGGGUGAGUAAUGUCUGGGAAACUGCCUGAUGGAGGGGGAUAACUACUGGAAACGGUAGCUAAUACCGAUUACCAUCAGAUGUGCUCAGAUGGGUUUAGCUUGUUGGUGGGGAAACGGAUCACCAAGGCGACGAUCCCUAGCUGGUCUGAGAGGCGGACCACACACGCGUGAACUGCGACACGGUCCGGAUGCCAACGGGAGUCAGCGUUGGAGGAUAUUGCACAGUGGGCGCAAGCCUGAUGCAUGCAUGCCGGGUGUAUGAAGAGGGCCUUCGGGUGGUAAGGUACUUACAGCGGGGAGGCGUUACCCGGAGAAGAAGCACCGGCUAAGUCCGUGCCAGCGGCCGCGGUAAUUC
rnacentral:rRNA from 1 species